UACGGAGGGUGCAAGCGUUAUCCGGAUUCACUGGGUUUAAAGGGUGCGUAGGUGGGCAAGUAAGUCAGUGGUGAAAUCUCCGGGCUUAACCCGGAAACUGCCAUUGAUACUAUUUGUCUUGAAUACUGUGGAGGUCAGCGGAAUAUGUCAUGUAGCGGUGAAAUGCUUAGAUAUGACAUAGAACACCAAUUGCGAAGGCAGCUGGCUACACAAAUAUUGACACUGAGGCACGAAAGCGUGGGUAGCGAACAGG
rnacentral:rRNA from 1 species